rnacentral:lncRNA from 1 species
GUGGGAGACCCGGGGGAACGAAGGGAGAAUGCCGCGCGAAAGGGGCCUGUGUGAUGCGCUGCCGGUGGGGAACUAGCCAGAUCACCUGGGAGCGAGGGUGCUGCCUUUCCGCCCUUUUGGGAAAACAUCAUCAAGUCGAGAUGCAAGUGUUGGGAGACCUGAGAACUCGGUAGCGCAGACGUGGUAACCGUGGGUUUUUAGGGGAGCAUCCGAUACUUUUUAAAAUGAGUAUCCAGAAGAUCAAGUCAGUUAAAACCGGAGCCAAAUGACUAUUCUAACUAAAAGAUUGUCAUUUCUUACAACUCCCUGAGGUUACUGUAGGUGUAAAAUCAGUUUUUUUAAAAAAAUCUAUUUCUGUGCCCCUUCCUCCAGCCAGCCCGGCAUGUAAGUAUGCUCCAUGUGGGGUGGUCACCCCCCUUGAGCACCACCAUUCGUAUCUCACUGAAGUCUCCCUCACCCUUUGCAGCGCGCAGACCAGUAAUUCCAGUAUCUGAGAUCUCAGCGGACCAACUGUGGGGUGACAUGGCCCAGGGGAAUAAUUACACGCAGACCAGCAACGGGGUCGCAGACGAAUCACCCAACAUGCUGGUGUACAGAAAGGAUAGCCAUCGCACUUCCGGUGUCACUCGUAUGUUUGGUGGCCCAGUGAUGGACACAGAGCCGCUGGGUACAGCUGCUGGGACACCAAGAAGCUCUCGAUUUUCGUGCAUCACAGACCUGUGAGCUGACUCCACACAGUGUGUGAUGGAAACGAGACAGUCCCGAAACGACCAAGUCCAGAUAAAGCGCGACACGUCGGUUCUGAGCUCUGUUCUUCAUGUUUUUUCUCUCUUUUCAAAUAAACGCAGUCAGGCCUUGUGUGUAGUUCGAUGU